CCCGCGCCGUGCCCUUCGUGAGGCGAGGGGCGCCUGUGGCGUUGUGAAUUGCUGCAGAUAGUCUAGUCUGAAACAGGUAGUAAAUGCAAAAUACCUUAACUCCAGCUGAAGUGGGAAGUUUAGAGAUGUGCUACUAAAUUGGGAUUAUUAAAAGGUUAUGCUACCAAAAUUUGACAAGAACUGAAGACUUCACAACAACACCACGAAGGAGCCCUCUUGAUGACGAUUGUGAGUCACGGGGUGGUGUAAGAGACAGUCCGAAGUUUCCCUCAUUUGCCUCAUGAGCAUCGCAAGAACAGAGACUAAGACCCUGAAGACCCCAGGCGUCUUUGUGCAGGGAUUCUGGCCUGGUUGAGGUGGAUGCUUGCUAAGUGAUUGUUUGAAGGUGUGCUCGACCUAAACCACAAUAGUGAUUGUUUACAGGUGUUUGCUGUGCUGCCACGGUACACUGCCUUCGUUCCUGCUGGUGAGCAAGGACUGGUGGGAGCGGCCUGUUCUGUACCUCAUACCUGCUUCACAGAGCAAUGGCUCUUAUCACAAUGGCCUGUGGAUCUCCCCACCUCUUGGCCAACCACCCCUAUCUUUGAAACAGACUAUAAAAGUGGCUUUCUAAGUUACUUUCUUCGAGAGCGAUCUCCCCACAGAAGAAGAAAACGGCACCCCCCGUCCUGUCCGUUGGUAGCUAUUACCCCCCCACUUUUUCUCUCUUUGCCUCUUUAUCCCUCUCCCUCUCUUCCCUGCUACUCCUUCUCUCGCUCUCAUCUAUCGCAUAACCCGUGUUGUUAGCACUAAACUAAAAAUGCAUUGUUACUACUGUGAUUUAAACUGAAAUCCCUUGGUGUCCUUUUUGCACUCUGAGGUCAAAUGAACCUCUCACGACUCCGCUUGUGUUAGCAGAUCGUGACACCCACCCACACCACCCCACCCAAUAGUCAAGGACCCUCUUCCUACUCUUCUGCAGGGGGACAUACAUACAGGGUUUCAGCUGUCCUUCCUCCCCCUUUAUUUGGAGUGUUUUAUUUCCAGGAGCAAACCCUAACACCCCCCCCCAGCAAAAGAUUACACCCCUGCUGUUAACCCUGCUAUGGGAGGUCUCAGGGACUUUUUCCCCACCUCUUCCUCUCCGCAACAACGAGAGGCCCCCUCACACUGCCUGAUCUGAGGGACGCUCCCUGUAUUUUGGUGUG